rnacentral:rRNA from 1 species
UACGUAGGGGGCUAGCGUUGUCCGGAUUUAUUGGGCGUAAAGAGCGUGUAGGCGGCCAGGUAGGUCUGGUGUGAAAACUCGAGGCUUAACCUCGAGAUGUCAUCGGAAACCAUCUGGCUAGAGUCCGGAAGAGGAGAGUGGAAUUCCUGGUGUAGCGGUGAAAUGCGCAGAUAUCAGGAAGAACAACCCGUGGCGAAGGCGGCUCUCUGGUACGUGACUGACGCUGAGACGCGAAA